UUUCUUGUUUUCCCCCCCCCCCCUCUUCCUUUUCUCGAUGUGAGACCUCCAGAUAAACCCCCCUGAACAAGUAUCAAGUUAUCAAGUUGCACCAAGCUUUUUGUAAUAAGAGCAUUUUGUCUAAUCCCAAAUUGCAGUUGAAUUUUCUUAAUGCUGAGCUGGUAAAGCCUGGGAUUAGAGCGGAGGAGAGGAGAGGAGAGGAGGAGGGGGUGGGGGGGUUGAAAAGUUUUGUCCCUUCAGCCGGGAGGAUUGGAAGAAGCUCGGAUCUGCGGGGAUGUUGUCGGUGCUUAUUAAAACGAUGAUGCAUAAACCUCAGAGUGGCUUGUUGCGGGAAGCUUCGGGUUCCCGUCGCACGGAGAGCUCCGGAGCUCCCGGCUCCCGGCGAGCUGCGGAGGCCGACCGGCGCGCAGCACCUGUCGGGGGGAAACGCAGCGAAGGUCCCGCCGAAAGGAGACUGGAUCCAGAUGUUUUUCCCACCCGUUUAUUAUUAUUUUUUUUUUCCCCUGCACCUGGAGCAUUAAUAAAUUGUCCAUAACCAGUGAGUGGAGCCGCAGAGAACGGGGAGUUAAAAUGGAGAAGAAAAAAGAAAAGAAGUGGAAACUGCGAUUCGGUAGAAAGUUGGUGCAAAGUUUGAGUCUCUGCUUGUCAAAGUGGACUUAAAAACCUCGUCAGGAUUCUACGAGCUGCUAUGAAACAAUAGGAAAACGUCCUCUCCAGGUGCUCGUCCUCCGCCUCGGCCCUGUGGACCACAAACAUCAAAACGUCACGAGUCCCGAAGGAGCUGUCCCGGACCAGCGCGUCCCGUUUGUUGACCAGUAUGACCAGUUCGUCCAGCAGCAGCUGCUCUCGUCUCUUCUGGGCUUCGGUUUUCUGCCAGUCUGCAAAAAUCAGAGGAAG